AUAAGAAAAUUGAAGAACUAGAGAGAAAAAAAGAAGAUGAAUUUAAACUAUUUCAGGAGAAUGUUGCACUAUUUCAGGAAAAAUGUUGUACUGUUUUAGAGAAAAUUUACACUCUUUGAGAGAAAAAGUACACAUUUUUGGAUGAAAGUUGUAUUUUCUGAACGAAAGUUACAUUCUUUAAACGAAAGUUGCACUCUUUAGGCAAAAAAUACACUAUUUUUCCUCCUCUUCCUCUUUCUUCUCCUUCUUCUUCGUUCUCGUGUGUUUCUUCUAUGCCCAUCUCUUCUUCGCCCUCCAUCUCCGUCAGCAGAUCCUCUACUCAGUUCUCUCCGACCCUUUAUUUUUUUUCCUCUCUGGUGGUGGAGGAGA
rnacentral:lncRNA from 1 species